GAACGCUGGCGGCGUGCUUAACACCUGCAAGUCGAACGGAAAGGCCCUGCUUUUGUGGGGUGCUCGAGUGGCGAACGGGUGAGUAACACGUGAGUAACCUGCCCUUGACUUUGGGAUAACUUCAGGAAACUGGGGCUAAUACCGGAUAGGAGCUCCUGCUGCAUGGUGGGGGUUGGAAAGUUUCGGCGGUUGGGGGUGGACUCGCGGCUUAUCAGCUUGUUGGUGGGGUAGUGGCUUACCAAGGCUUUGACGGGUAGCCGGCCUGAGAGGGUGACCGGCCACAUUGGGACUGAGAUACGGCCCAGACUCCUACGGGAGGCAGCAGUGGGGAAUAUUGCACAAUGGGCGGAAGCCUGAUGCAGCAACGCCGCGUGCGGGAUGACGGCCUUCGGGUUGUAAACCGCUUUCGCCUGUGACGAAGCGUGAGUGACGGUAAUGGGUAAAGAAGCACCGGCUAACUACGUG
rnacentral:rRNA from 1 species